rnacentral:rRNA from 1 species
CCUACGGGUGGCUGCAGUCGAGAAUCAUUCGCAAUGGGCGAAAGCCUGACGAUGCGACGCCGUGUGAGCGAUGAAGGCCUUAGGGUUGUAAAGCUCUUUCGCCUGGGAACAAGAGAGGCAUGUGAAUAGCAUGCUGAUUUGAGGGUACUAGGUAAAGAAGCACCGGCUAACUCCGUGCCAGCAGCUGCGGUAAUACGGAGGGUGCAAGCAGUAAUCGAAUUUAUUGGGCGUAAAGGGCGAAGUCAGGUGUUAAAUCUCGGGGCUCAACCUCGAGCGAGCAUUUGAUACUGCGAAUCUAGAGGGUAGACGGAGAAAAUAGAAUUCCACAAGUAGCGGUGAAAUGCGUAGAUAUGUGGAGGAAUACCGGUGGCGAAGGCGGUUUUCUAGUUUAUACCUGACGCUGAGGCGCGAAAGCAAGGGGAGCAAACAGGAUUAGAUACCCGAGUAGUC